UAUUAUACCAAAAAGUAAUCAUAAAAUACCUGAGUAGUAACAGAUAUAUUCUAAAAAUUUGAAAAAUUUGGCGGUGGUUUAGUCUUGUCAGAGGAACCUGUCUUUUAAACGAUACACCACGAAAUAUCUUACUUGAGUUCGUGCAGUAUGUAUACCAUCAUUAUUAGGUAAUUUUUAUAGAAUAAAUUACUGAAAAAUGUCGAUAAUGUUGAAUAUAUUAGAUCAAGGUGCAGCUAAUGCUCAAGUUAAGAUGGGUUACAAUAGUAUUUAUACUAUUACGGAUAAGUAAGUGAAACUUUACUUUGAAGGAGGAUUUGAUUGUAAUUUUAGUUUAAUAAGCUAAUUUGAUAUAAGCUCUAAAGCAUGU
rnacentral:rRNA from 1 species